GGGGAAAUUAAGCUUGGCCAGGUCAGGGUGCUCUUGGAUAGGGCUCAUGCCAUUUCCAAAAUCUGGAAUGAUGCUCCAAUUGUUCUUUGUGGGGAUUUCAAUUGUACGCCAAAGAGUCCGUUAUACGACUUUAUUUCAGAACAGAAGGUAAGCUCCUUUCUUCUCCAUUUU